rnacentral:tRNA from 1 species
CAGAGAAUAGUUUUAAAAAAAAUAUUAGUUUUGGGAACUGAAGAUAGAUUAUUAUAAUUUUUCUCUGA